ACUCAAUUGGCAGAACAUGGGACUAUUAAUCCCAGAAUUGUGGGUUCAAGACCCACAUUGGGAG
rnacentral:tRNA from 1 species